rnacentral:rRNA from 1 species
UGUUGGAGGAGCUCCGAGCUCUUUCAGUGUCGAAGCGAAGGUGAUAAGUCCACUGCCUGGGAAGUACGGUCGCAAGGCUGAAACUUAAAGGAAUUGGCGGGGGAGCACCGCAACCUGAGGAUUGUGCGGUUUAAUUGGAUUCAACGCCGGAAAACUCACCAUAGCCGACGGACAAAUGAAGGUCAGUGUAAUGAACUUACCGGAUUGUUCGAGAGGUAGUGCAUGGCCGCCGUCAGUUCGUACCGUAAGGCGUUCUGUUAAGUCAGAUAACGAACGAGACCCUCAUCUCUAUUUGCUACCCUUCUCUCCGGAGGAGGCGCACCAUAGGGAGACCGCUGGUGCUAAACCAGAGGAAGGCGAGGGCAACGACAGGUCAGUAUGCCCCGAAUGCUCUGGGCUACACGCGCGCUACAAAGGAUGGGACAAUGGGAAGCCACGCCGAGAGGCGGCGCUACCUCGAAACCCAUUCGUAGUUCGGAUUGAGGGCUGUAACUCGCCCUCAUGAAGCUGGAUUCCGUAGUAAUCGUGUUUCAACAUAGCACGGUGAAUAUGCCCCUGCUCCUUGCACACACCGCCCGUCAAACCAUCUUAGUUGGGGGUGGGUGAGGCUACGUUUUAAUGGCGUAUUCGAGCCUGUCUUCGACAAGGAGGGUUAAGUCGUAACAAGGUAUCUGUAGGGGAACCUGCAGAUG